CCUACGGGUGGCAGCAGUGAGGAAUAUUGGUCAAUGGACGAGAGUCUGAACCAGCCAAGUCGCGUGAAGGAUGACUGCCCUAUGGGUUGUAAACUUCUUUUAUCUGGGAAUAAAAUGUUCCACGUGUGGGAUUAUGUGUGUACCAUAUGAAUAAGGAUCGGCUAACUCCGUGCCAGCAGCCGCGGUAAUACGGAGGAUCCGAGCGUUAUCCGGAUUUAUUGGGUUUAAAGGGAGCGUAGGUGGAUUGUUAAGUCAGUGGUGAAAGUUUGAGGCUCAACCGUAAAAUUGCAGUUGAAACUGGCAGUCUAGAGUACAGGAGAGGUGGGCGGAAUUCGUGGUGUAGCGGUGAAAUGCUUAGAUAUCACGAAGAACUCCGAUUGCGAAGGCAGCUCACUGGACUGCAACUGACACUGAGGCUCGAAAGUGUGGGUAUCAAACAGGAUUAGAUACCCUUGUAGUC
rnacentral:rRNA from 1 species